AAAAUCCGUCGAUUUUUAAAAUCGUGAGG
rnacentral:tRNA from 9 species